rnacentral:sRNA from 1 species
GAGAUCAAGGAAUUCAAGGAAACUAGUGAUGGGUCAGAAAAAGAAGGAAAGUAUCUUAGCCUUCACAAUGAUCAUGUUGAUGUCUUGGACUCGGGAAAGGAGACCAAGACAGGAUCAGGAUACAUCACAGCCAUUGACGUGGUCUACGAGCAAAACGCUGCAAAUGUUGGUACAAAAGAUUACGAAGAGCUGGAGCAAGCUACAUUGGAGGAGAAUGUUUAUCAUGUGCCAGUAUCGGGCUCUUUAGAGAGCAUUAAUCUCGACUUGUGAGUUACCAUUUCAAUACAUUUAUGAUCUCACACAGACAAAAAAUGAAAGUAAACCUGAUCAGUGUUGACAAUGGAAUUUUUUUAAAAAACUGUUUUACUUUAAAUUU